CAAUCCGAGAAUUUCACCUCUAGCGCGACCAUACUUCAGCCCUCUUUCUACCCCUUUUAAUCAUUACUCCGCUAAAUAACCGAAAACCAUCAAAAUAGCGGCAGAGUCUUAUUCCAUUAUUCCAUGCAACACUAUACAGGCGCAAAUGCCUGCCUUGAGCACUCUAAUUUUUUCAAAGUAAACAUGCCGUGCAUUGCUAGCAACUCAGUUAAGAGCACCAGCAAUAGCUAACGACUAGUAAGGCGGAAUGCAUAGUAGUAGCUAAAUGCCACACCAUGCAUUCACAACCCGAGAUCCAACUACGAGCUUUUUAACUGCAACAACUUUAAUAUACGCUAUUGGAGCUGGAAUUACCGC
rnacentral:misc_RNA from 1 species